rnacentral:rRNA from 1 species
UACGUAGGGGGCAAGCGUUGUCCGGAUUUAUUGGGCGUAAAGAGCGUGUAGGCGGUUCGGUAGGUCCGUUGUGAAAACUCGAGGCUCAACCUCGAGACGCCGAUGGAAACCCCCGAACUAGAGUCCGGAAGAGGAGAAUGGAAUUCCGGGUGUAGCGGUGAAAUGCGUAGAGAUCCGGAGGAACACCAGUGGCGCAGGCGGCUCUCUGGGUCGGCCCUGACGCUGAGGCGCGAAAGCGUGGGGAGCGAACAGG